rnacentral:lncRNA from 1 species
GGAAGUGAAUCUUCACAGGGAAGGAAGCAACAAAACUCUGCCUUUGGCUUUUGCUGGCUGAGCAGGGAAAGGCCUAUAGACACAGGGCAUUGGGCAGGAGCUAGAACAGCCCUCCCUAGAGCACUACAUAAAGCAGCCAAUAUUUUGCAAAGCAUAGGGAAUAGUGAAAGUCAUCCGGGGUAUUUGCAGACACAGCACUAAGAACUUGGUGACAAUAGCCCUGAAGCAAAACAGCAGCAUGUACUGGGCAGGGCUUGGGAGAUAAGACAGGACAUCUGAAGCUAAACAUGGAAUUCUCAGGUCACCAAAUGUGGGAUUCCGCAUCUGGCCAUUCCUGAAGCUGAAAGCCUGGCAUAUUUUUGAGUGUCCAUUUGGAUCAGCUAAUAAACCCAGGGUUUGUCUACUGGCUGGAGGAGUAAGAACUAUAAGGCUAAUUGAAAUGAAUCUACUUAAAAUAGCGACCUGAUUUUUCUAAUAAUUACUGGAAGGUAAGGGUUGAUUGAGACCUGCAACCAUUUUCUAACUCUUAAAAUAAAGAAAGGAUAAUUCAAGUGUUGAUAUUUUCCCAACAUAAAUAUACAGGAACAUAAUGUAGCUUACUUGUAUUUUAUCUUUGAUUUACACAAGAGAAUUUUUAUACAAAUAUUCCAGGCUCAUUAGUUUUCCCAAAGGCUUCUCAUAAUCCUUUGAUAUUUAAAUCAUUUCCUCUUUCAAGUCAUUUUUUAUCUGCCUUGUCGAUAGUCUUUUUAUUAAUUUGCCCAACUCAUCUGGAUCUUCCUUUGUCACUGGCUCUGUAAAUUUGAGUAUUUCUCCAAUAAUGCUCCUGUCAACUUUAUGAAAUCCUUUGUCUUUUGCAAGAUUUAAAAAUUCCCUUUAUAAUAAGCAUUCUACAGUAAGUGAAGACUCACUAGCAAAUAUAUGAGUGAUGGAUCAAGAGAGACAAAGUGUUAAAAAUUGACAGAUGCAACUUUU